rnacentral:rRNA from 1 species
GACAGAGGGUGCAAACGUUGUUCGGAAUUACUGGGCGUAAAGCGCGUGUAGGCUGCUUCGCAAGUCGGAUGUGAAAGCCCUGGGCUCAACCCAGGAAGUGCAUUCGAAACUGCAAAGCUGGAGUCCUGGAGAGGAAGGCGGAAUUCUCGGUGUAGCGGUGAAAUGCGUAGAUAUCGAGAGGAACACCUGCGGCGAAGGCGGGUUGCUGGGCUGACACUGACGCUGAGGCGCGAAAGCUAGGGGAGCGAACGGG